rnacentral:rRNA from 1 species
UACAGAGGUCCCAAGCGUUGUUCGGAUUCACUGGGCGUAAAGGGUGCGUAGGUGGCGAGGUAAGUCGGAUGUGAAAUCUCCGAGCUCAACUCGGAAAUGGCAUUGGAAACUACCUUGCUCGAGGGUCGGAGAGGGAAGCGGAAUUCCGGGUGUAGCGGUGAAAUGCGUAGAUAUCCGGAGGAACACCGGUGGCGAAGGCGGCUUCCUGGACCGAUACUGACGCUGAGGCGCGAAAGCUAGGGGAGCAAACGGG